rnacentral:rRNA from 1 species
GGGCCCGCACAAGCGGUGGAGCAUGUGGUUUAAUUCGAUGAUACGCGAGGAACCUUACCAGGGCUUAAAUGUAGUAUGACCGGCUUGGAAACAGGCCUUCUCUUCGGAGCAGAUUACAAGGUGCUGCAUGGUUGUCGUCAGCUCGUGCCGUGAGGUGUUAGGUUAAGUCCUGCAACGAGCGCAACCCCUAUUCUUAGUUGCCAGCGGUUCGGCCGGGGACUCUAAGAAGACUGCCGGUGCAAACCGCGAGGAAGGUGGGGAUGACGUCAAAUCAUCACGGCCCUUACGUCCUGGGCUACACACGUGCUACAAUGGCCGGUACAGAGGGCAGCCACACCGCAAGGUGGAGCG